rnacentral:rRNA from 1 species
GAACCGUGCGAACGUUAUUCGGAAUCACUGGGCUUAAAGCGCGUGUAGGCGGGACAGCACGUCGGUCGCUGAAAUCCCCCGGCUUAACCGGGGAACGGGCGUCGAUACGACUGUCCUGGAGGGGCGUAGGGGGACCUGGAACUUCCGGUGGAGCGGUGAAAUGCGUUGAGAUCGGAAGGAACGCCCGUGGCGAAAGCGAGGUCCUGGACGCCUGCUGACGCUGAGACGCGAAAGCCAGGGGAGCGAACGGGAUUAGAUACCCCGGUAGUCCUGGCCGUAAACGAUGGGCACUGGGUAGGGGGCUCGCCGAUGGGCUCCCUGCCGAAGCGAAAGCGUGAAGUGCCCCGCCUGGGGAGUAUGGUCGCAAGGCUGAA